AUCUAAACGCUCUUUUACAUUUUUUUAUUUUUUAAUGUAGCUUUUAAUUUGUUUUUUGAAAUUCAAAAUUAAAUAUUAGAUUUAUAAAUUCAUUCAUUUCAGUUCAUUACUUUUUAGAAAUGUAAGAGAGCGUUGGAGGGGCUGAUCGCUGUUGGCUGGGCCUCACAGAGUUGGGCGAGGUCGGGGCCUUUCUCACCCUAAACCAUAAAAAAAUUCUUUGCAGAUACUGGAACAAAAAUUUGCCUGUAAGUAGCGAAAUUAAAGUAUCUGUGGAGAUUCAGAGACUACAGAACUCUACGCAGCCACUUCCUGCAGUCAUACACCAGGUUUGAAAGGUUUUGAAUAGAAGGUGUUCAUAUUUGGAUCACCUGGAGUCCAUAUCGGUUGUUGUAGUGGGGAAUAUAAUCAGCCUCUUCGGAUACACCAGCUCUGCAAGAAGACUACGCAAAGCAUUUUUUAGGUGACUGUGGCUGUGCAUGUGGUAUGUACCCGCCAUGUCUCUCUUGAUGCGCAACACAGAAGUAAAGUGUCUACUAAAAGCUAGUGCAAGUCUUGUGCGGGGAAGGAAAAUUAUUAGGGAUUAGCAUGUGAGGGAGUAGGCUAGUUAAUCUAAGAUCUCUUCGAGUCUGAAAAUCCACACGCGUUUAGCCAGAAAAAGCCUAUGAUUCUUACAAUGAAUGAUAAAGUGAUCUUUUAAGUUUUAUUUAAGUUUGCCUAUUCUUUAUAUGCACUGACUAUUAUACAAAGGCGAUAUAUAUUUUUAUAGUAAAAAAUCGAAUAAGAAUAAAAAAUACAAUAGUCUCUACAGCCAGGAGAUUCACUUCAUUAAUUAUUGUAAGAAAUUACAGACUUAUUCUGGCUAAGCGCAUGCAGGUGUUAAGAUGAACGUUAUAACAGGUACAAUUUAACAACAAAAUCAUAAUCUGUUUAGCUUUGUUAUGUUAUCUAAAAUCCCUGUACAGAAUUUCAGAUCUCUAGGUUAAAUAGCAUUUCAAUUACAAGGUCUUAAAAAUAUUCUUAUACGUCUUUUCAUCGGUCUUUUCAUCGGCUUUUUUAGGAUGUUCCUCUUAUAAUGUUUAUCUAAACACUCACACUAACAACUGUCUUAUACUUAACGAUUGUUAUAAUAUACUUUGUAUUAUAUAUGGCGUGAUAUUAA